rnacentral:tRNA from 1 species
GCAGCUGUGGUCUAGUGGUAUGAUUAGAGCUUCCCAAGCUUUCGGUUCGGGUUCGAUUCCCGGCAGCUGCA